rnacentral:rRNA from 1 species
UGAGGAAUAUUGCGCAAUGGGGGAAACCCUGACGCAGCGACGCCGCGUGGAGGACGAAGGCCUUCGGGUCGUAAACUCCUGUCAAGGGGGACGAAAGCUGUGCGGAUGAAUAAGCCGUACGGUUGACGGUACCUCUGGAGGAAGCCCCGGCUAACUCCGUGCCAGCAGCCGCGGUAAUACGGAGGGGGCCAGCGUUGUUCGGAAUUAUUGGGCGUAAAGGGCGCGUAGGCGGUCGUGCAAGUCGGAGGUGAAAUCCCUCGGCUCAACCGAGGAAUUGCCCCCGAAACUGCACGACUUGAGUCCCGGAGAGGGUAGCGGAAUUCCCAGUGUAGCGGUGAAAUGCGUAGAUAUUGGGAGGAACACCAGUGGCGAAGGCGGCUACCUGGACGGGUACUGACGCUGAGGCGCGAAAGCGUGGGGAGCAAACAGGAUUAGAUACCCCCGUAGUCC